ACCUCUGUCAAAAAGGAAAGUUACAAUAGUGCUUCACUAAAGUGAUGCCUGAAAGCUUACUGGUAACUAGGAAGAAAAAGGCACACUAUGGGAUGGGCCAAAACUUGUAGACCUUUAGAGCCUGCUGACUGUUAAUUCCUCAGCGCUAGAAUGCUAU